GUGAAUCAUCAAAUCUUUGAACGCAAAUUGCACUCUCCUCGGAGAGUAUGCCUGUUUGAGGGUCAGCCUAUAAAAAAUCGACAUCGUUGCUGUUUCGCGGUGACGUUCGUCGGAAAUUGGGUCAUCUUAAAUCCUUUUGGUUUUAAGCGACUUAAAAUUUUCUUUUUGGUUCCAUGAACGUUUCUAAGAUUUAUUUCUUUACCCGUUAAGGGUAUUGGAUUUUUUUUAGCCUUAAC
rnacentral:misc_RNA from 1 species